CCCUUAGAUGUUCUGGGCUGCACGCGCGCUACACUGAAGCUAUCAACACGUUUUCCCUCCCUGAGAAGGGCGGGUAACCUUUUGAAUCAGCUUCGUGGUAGGGAUCGGGGCUUGCAAUUGUUCCCCGUGAACCAGGAAUUCCUAGUAGAAGCGAGUCAUAAGCUCGCAUCGAUUAAGUCCCUGCCCUUUGUACACACCGCCCGUCGCUACUACCGAUUGAACGUUUUAGUGAGGCAUUUGGACCGACGCAUCUCAGUUUAACCGCUGGUUUGUGUUGGAAAGACUUCCAAACUUGAGCGUUUAGAGGAAGUAAAAGUCGUAACA
rnacentral:rRNA from 1 species